rnacentral:rRNA from 1 species
AAGGAACGCUAGCUAUAUGCUUAACACAUGCAAGUCGAACGUUGUUUUCAGGGAGCUGGGCAGAAAGAAAAAAGGCUCCUAGCUAAAGGUAGCUUGUCUCGCCCAGGAGGUGAGAAUAGUUGAGAACAAAGUGGCAAACGGGUGCGUAACGCGUGGGAAUCUACCAAACAGUUCGGGCCAAAUCCUGAAGAAAGCUAAAAAGCGCUGUUUGAUGAGCGUGCGUAGUAUUAGGUAUUUGGUCAGGUAAAGGCUGACCAAGCCAAUGAUGCUUAGCUAGUCUUUUCGGAUGAUCAGCCACACUGGUACUGAGACACGGCCCGGACUCCCACGGGAGGCAGCAGUGGGGAAUCUUGGACAAUGGGCGAAAGCCUGAUCCAGCAAUAUCGCGUGAGUGAAGAGGGGUAAUGCCACUUGUAAAGCUCUUUCGUUGAGUGCGCGAUCAUGACAGGACUCAAUGAAGAAGCCCCGGCUAACUCCGUGCCAGCCGCCGCAGUAACAC